GAGGGGCAGCAUGAACUUAGCUUGCUAAGUUUGAUGGCGACCGGCGCACGGGUGAGUAACACGUAUCCAACCUGCCGAUGACUCGGGGAUAGCCUUUCGAAAGAAAGAUUAAUACCCGAUGGCAUAGUUCUUCCGCAUGGUAGAACUAUUAAAGAAUUUCGGUCAUCGAUGGGGAUGCGUUCCAUUAGGUUGUUGGCGGGGUAACGGCCCACCAAGCCUUCGAUGGAUAGGGGUUCUGAGAGGAAGGUCCCCCACAUUGGAACUGAGACACGGUCCAAACUCCUACGGGAGGCAGCAGUGAGGAAUAUUGGUCAAUGGACGAGAGUCUGAACCAGCCAAGUAGCGUGAAGGAUGACUGCCCUAUGGGUUGUAAACUUCUUUUAUACGGGAAUAAAGUGAGGCACGUGUGCCUUUUUGUAUGUACCGUAUGAAUAAGGAUCGGCUAACUCCGUGCCAGCAGCCGCGGUAAUACGGAGGAUCCGAGCGUUAUCCGGAUUUAUUGGGUUUAAAGGGAGCGUAGGCGGACGCUUAAGUCAGUUGUGAAAGUUUGCGGCUCAACCGUAAAAUUGCAGUUGAUACUGGAUGUCUUGAGUGCAGUUGAGGCAGGCGGAAUUCGUGGUGUAGCGGUGAAAUGCUUAGAUAUCACGAAGAACUCCGAUUGCG
rnacentral:rRNA from 1 species